UACGUAGGGCGCAAGCGUUGUCCGGAAUUAUUGGGCGUAAAGAGCUCGUAGGCGGUUUGUCGCGUCUGCUGUGAAAACUCGAGGCUCAACCUCGGGCUUGCAGUGGGUACGGGCAGACUAGAGUGCGGUAGGGGAGACUGGAAUUCCUGGUGUAGCGGUGGAAUGCGCAGAUAUCAGGAGGAACACCGAUGGCGAAGGCAGGUCUCUGGGCCGCAAACUG
rnacentral:rRNA from 1 species